UCGGACUCCCUUUGCCCUUAGGUCUUCGGACUCCACCUCUGCUGCGGCGGUGGCAGCGAGGCGAAUCCGGCGACGGCGCGAAUUCCGGCGAGGUAUUCGCCGCGUUGCCAUGGGGAAGAUGCUGGAUCCGAAGCGUCUCAUGUCUGCGCGACAGGAGCGGCAUCGCCGUCGGCGGCGACGGCAACUCCGACCCCGCAGUAGCCCUCCCUCUCCUACCUUCUUCUUCUUCAGCAAUUGUGUUUGAUAGCCACGAUUGCUUUUUUGGGGAAAAAAAGAGCAUCUCGCUUGCAAGCAAUUCAAGAAGGGGCAAUGGGACAUUAUGAUCUGUGGAAUUUAGGAACAAAAUAGUGUAGAAUUGUUUUUUUCUUUUGGGAGGUAAAAGGUAGCAAUGCUCGGUUGAAUUUGAUUUGUAGGAAGUAAUGAAACAAAUUGGAGUGAAUACCCGCUCUUUUCACAAAAAGCUGGACAACUGAACCAAAUUGAAUUGUUCGUGUUCAUUCAUGUGCUUUGAUCUGAUGUUUUCCCCUGUUGAUUGAUGUCUGCAUAUAACCACGCAAAUGAUGUGUUUGUUCAAUUGCUUCACUGGCUAAAAGGAAGGGCUCAUUCUGUCACCACGUUGCAGAUUCUGAAGGCGCCAAAAGAACAAGAUAUUCAGUGCCUAGCCUUCCAGAGGUAUGGUACCUAAUGCUGAUAAGAAAUACUUAUAUUAGAAGCAAAGUGGGUCACUAUGAUUCUAUGACUGCUCUAAGUAGUCUCUAACUACACACUGGUGGUCAUAUGGUGGCUAGAUCAAAAGGAUUGAGAUCCUCUACCUUCAAACUCAAAGGUACCAUGUCUUUGUCACUGACAGAUGGGUCCAUGGUUCAUUGGGCCUACAUGUUAGUGACAAAGGCACGUGCCUUUGAAGUUAGAGGAGCCUGAUCCAGAUUUAUGAACAGAUAUUUAUAGCUGCAAUCUUCUACAAUUCUGCAUGAGGGCACCUUUUCUCUGUUCUAGCUGUUGCACCUUUAUCACUCAAGCAGAAAAUUGUUUGUGAUGGCGUCACCUUAAUAAUCUUGUUAAGGCAGUUCACUUUCUAAAGGUUCUUCCUCACUUAUCAGCGGGUUCCUGUACUUCUUUUAUGUGAUUACUCUGGUCUCGACCAGUUUCCUGAUGAUCAAUGUUUAUGUUUACCAGAACCCCCAAUGUGCGAUUUGUCCUUAAGAUACAUGUUUAUUUUUUUCUUCAUUACCUUUGACUAAUUUAUAGGAUGAUAUUGUAGGGAGAAAAGCAUCAUUUCAUACAUAACAUUGUUGACUACCGCUGCAUACUUCAAGCAAGAAUAGGUUUCAUACUAUGUGAUCAUAAUUAGUCACUGGCUACAAUCUGCUUUAUCUUUUUCCCGAUAGCCACUAAGAAAACUUUGAAAGGGAAAAGGAGAAAAAUGAAAAUGUGCCGUUCAGUUUGCGUACCACAAAUCCCAAAGAGCUAUUCCUUAUAAGCUACUAAUAGUACUGCUUUCCCUUCCAAUUGAACCUUCACAAUUCUUUUAAAAAAACUUUUAUCCUUGCUAGUGCUUGUAGGAAAUCUGGUGCCAUAUACACUCCCUAAUGUCAUUCAAAGAUGCUGCUCGUGCAGCAUGCGUGUCUCGUGCUUUUCGUCAUUCCUGGCGAUGCCAUCCCAAUCUUAUAUGUUGUAUUGGAAUACUGGGCUCGGAUUUCAUCAACAAAUUUGACCGCAUUAUGAAAAAUCACUCAGGAAUUGGCAUCAAGUCGGUAAAGUUUCAAUAUAAUAGUUUUUACAAUACUAGAAGGAGCACUAGCAUCAGCCAUCAUUUCGAUAGUUGGCAUCAGAUUGCUAUUACACCGUGGAUCGAAGAACUCACCAUUAGCCUAUCUCUAUCUUCAUUCAAUAUGGAGUACAGCUUCCCAUGCUCACUUCUAGCUGAUGGGAGAGCAAGCUCAAUGCGGCAUCUUUAUCUUGGCAAUUGUGGAUUCCAUCCCACAAUCAACCUUGACUUGAGAAACCUGACAAGGUUGCAUCUGAUUAAUGUACAUAUUACAGGAGAUGAGUUAGGGUGCCUUCUCUCAAAUUCUCAUUGUUUGGAGCAGUUAGAACUUAUGUAUUGCAAUGGAAUAAUUUGUCUGAAGAUACCUUCCCUGUUGCAGUGCCUCAGCCACCUAGAAGUGUUUGAUUGCAGAAUUCAAGUAGUUGAGAAUAAGGCUCCAAAUCUUUGCAGUUUUGACUUUGGAGGUAGGCAGGUACAACUCUUACUUGGCGAAUCGUUGCGAAUGAAGAGACUAUCCUUGCACUACCCCGAUGCUAUGUAUUAUGCUCAUGCAAAGCUUCCAUCCAAUGCGCCAAAUCUUGAAACUCUCACCCUCUGAUGCUCGACUGACAAGAUGGUUGAUACACCAAUAUUGCCUAGCAAAUUCCUCCAUCUCAAGUGCUUGACCAUUGAUCAUACCAUUAUCUCAUCUUCCCCAGCUUAUAAUUAUCUUUACCUGGUUUAUUUUCUCGACGCUUGCCCUUCCUUGGAGACUUUCCUUUUGGGUAUAUCGCAGAACCACAUGGAGCAUGACUCGAUUAUUGGAGAUUCCUCACAUAUGAGGCAAAUGCCAGGACACCGUCAUGACAACCUCCGGAGUGUGGAGAUCACCGGUUUCUACUCUGCAAAGAGCUUGAUCGAGCUAACAUGUUAUAUUCUUGACAAUACAGUUGCACUCAAGUACCUUACACUGGAUACAACUCGUGGUUUUUUCAGCUGUUCUACAGGUGAACACGACAGAUGCUUUCCUAUGGACAAAAUCAUGAUAACGGAAGCCAAAAGGGCAGUCCUGGCUAUCCAAACAUACAUCGAGCGAAAAGUUCCUUCCACGGUCAAGCUAAAUGUUGUGAAGCCUUGCAGCCGUUGCCAUGCUGUUGAAUCAUAUUUGUAAUUAUUAUUUUUCUUCAACUUAAUUUUCUUGGUAAUUCGGUGAUUUUAAAGUGUCCGGUGCUUUCUCUCUUGAACUACUAAUUAGAACUGUCCAAUAGAUAAUUAUAUAGUUUUGCUUUUAUCAUCAAAUCUUGAACAGGAUAAUACAAUUACUAUAACUUUUGCUUGUGAAA